rnacentral:ncRNA from 1 species
ACCAUGGAGAGUUUGAUCCUGGCUCAGGAUGAACGCUGGCGGUAUGCUUAACACAUGCAAGUCGAACGCCCCUUCGGGGGAGUGGCGGACGGGUGAGUAACGCGUGAGAAUCUGCCUUCGGGUCGGGGACAACCACCGGAAACAGUGGCUAAUACCGGAUAUGCCUAUUGGUGAAAGAUUUAUUGCCAGAAGAGGAGCUCGCGUCUGAUUAGCUAGUUGGUAGGGUAAAGGCCUACCAAGGCAACGAUCAGUAGC